GAGUUGCCAUCUCCAGGUCCUAGUCGGUCCUCCAUCAUGUGAUGAGUGCAACACAGCAAGAUGAAUAGUCACACAUUAAAUGCAUUUUCAUCAGACUUUACAAGAUGACUGUCUUCCAAAGAUAAAAUAAGAGCUCUGAAAGUAAUGAACAAGAUAUGGGAUGAUUUAAUCUAAGUGUGUGCCAUGAACUGCUUUGAGACCUUAAUAAUCAGUAACAGCAAUAAAAGGCAAAAGAGAAGCAACAAUAAAAACUAAAAUUCAAUCAAGGCUUACAUUGCAAGUCACUGUUCUAAGUGCUAAUGGCAUCAACCAUUUAGUACUCAUAAUCUUACAACCAAAAUUUAUUAUCCCAUUUUACAGAUGAGGAUAAUGAGGUGAGAUUUAACUAUAAAUUACUAACAUGAAAAUACAAUCUUUAAAAUUUCUAAAAAAUAGUUUAUGUUUUGAAAUAGCAAACAAUAUUUUUACCUUUAAAACAUAUUUACAAAUUUAAUGUCAGAAAAAGCAUUCUAGGAAAACUCAGUAGAAUUUAAUGUGAAAAUAUUGUGUGGAUCUCUUUAUGGCCUAUAAGCUUAAAACGACUUAAUACCUGCUCUUGAAGAGUACACUCCAACCUGGCUAUACUCAAACUUUUGUUCAAAAUGGAUUUUAAGAAUGUAGAUUUCUCCUUGUAGUAAAUAAGCUUAAUUCUGCUAGCCCAAGUCAACUCUUGGACUAUGUGAAAAUGCAAGUGGCUAGUAUUUGCAUGGAUAGACUCAAGUUACCUUGAGUUGGCUGGCCUCAACCAUGUGUAGAACUCACACUUUCUCCUUGCCUAUCCUUUUGCACUGCACCAGUAUCUGAGUUGAUCGUCUUUUCCAUUAGGGGUUUCUGCCAGUUCAUUGGACUUCUCAAGAAGUCAUUGUUCUGACAGGAUCCCAUAACACACCCCACAAGAAGGCUCAUGUUAGAACAAUGCAGGCUCAAAGAGCACUUCAAGAAAAAGAAGGGCUGGUCCGGAAUGAGAAUGGCGGUGGUUUGGCUAACCUAGUUUCCUCUCUUCUGAGAAAAAAAGAAAGAAAUUCAACUUUAUGGGUAGAAGGUCUUUUCCCAAAGCAAUUCCUGGAUGUUUGACAAAUUUUCUCAAUAAAAAAGAUUACUGAACGCAGAAAUACCAUUUAGGACAUAAAACGGAGGCCAAGGAAAAUAAACCAUUUAGUUUAUUUUCAGAAUCAUUAUUAAUUCCUCAGGGCCCAGUUAAGCAACAUUUUUAUAACAAUACAAUUUAAAGGCUAUUGCAUAAUAUUACAUUUUGAACUGACAGGGUAGUAAGUGCUUGCUUUUAUUGAAUGUUCCAUACAAUAUUUCUCUUAAAGUUCAGUGCUAUGCUGUAUAUUAGUUUAUUUUUUAAUGCCAAAAUCCUUCAUUUACAAAGAGUUUUUAAUAGAGGUAUAAUGGUGAGAAAUCAAUAUUAGUAUAAUAGACAGACAUGAAAAGGUAAUAUUCACUGUGUAAAUUUGCUAUGUGUUUAUUAAAAAUUUCACUGACGCGAAGUCAAUUCAAUUUGGAAAAUGUAUCCGUUGACUGCUCUCUACUAGGAAUAAGCUAAAUAUUGUAAAAAUAAUAAUAAUAAUAAUGCCCAUCCUCAAGGAUACUACUACUCUCUGUGAAAUAACAGAACCUGAGAUGGAGGGCUAGUCAUUGGGAACAAUGUUCUACUCUUACAGCAUUAAGUAAAUACGGGAUAUGAAGCAGAUGAUACAGGCUUUGAUUUUCUCAUCUGUAAAACAAGAAAAUUAAAUUUAACUUAGAAACGGUG
rnacentral:lncRNA from 1 species